rnacentral:rRNA from 1 species
AAAGUUUGAUCCUGGCUCAGGACGAACGCUGGCGGCACGCUUAACACAUGCAAGUCGAACGAGAGAAGAGGAGCUUGCUUUUCUGAUCUAGUGGCGGACGGGUGAGUAACACGUGAGCAAUCUGCCUUUCAGAGGGGGAUACCGAUUGGAAACGAUCGUUAAUACCGCAUAACAUAAUUGAACCGCAUGAUUUGAUUAUCAAAGAUUUAUCGCUGAAAGAUGAGCUCGCGUCUGAUUAGCUAGUUGGUAAGGUAACGGCUUACCAAGGCGACGAUCAGUAGCCGGACUGAGAGGUUGAUCGGCCACAUUGGGACUGAGACACGGCCCAGACUCCUACGGGAGGCAGCAGUGGGGAAUAUUGCACAAUGGAGGAAACUCUGAUGCAGCGAUGCCGCGUGAGGGAAGAAGGUUUUAGGAUUGUAAACCUCUGUCUUCAGGGACGAAAAAAGACGGUACCUGAGGAGGAAGCUCCGGCUAACUACGUGCCAGCAGCCGCGGUAAUACGUAGGGAGCGAGCGUUGUCCGGAAUUACUGGGUGUAAAGGGAGCGUAGGCGGGAUCGCAAGUCAGAUGUGAAAACUAUGGGCUUAACCCAUAAACUGCAUUUGAAACUGUGGUUCUUGAGUGAAGUAGAGGUAAGCGGAAUUCCUAGUGUAGCGGUGAAAUGCGUAGAUAUUAGGAGGAACAUCAGUGGCGAAGGCGGCUUACUGGGCUUUAACUGACGCUGAGGCUCGAAAGCGUGGGGAGCAAACAGGAUUAGAUACCCUGGUAGUCCACGCCGUAAACGAUGAUUACUAGGUGUGGGGGGACUGACCCCUUCCGUGCCGCAGCAAACGCAAUAAGUAAUCCACCUGGGGAGUACGACCGCAAGGUUGAAACUCAAAGGAAUUGACGGGGGCCCGCACAAGCAGUGGAGUAUGUGGAUUAAUUCGAAGCAACGCGAAGAACCUUACCAGGUCUUGACAUCGUAUGCAUAGCUCAGAGAUGAGUGAAAUCUCUUCGGAGACAUAUAGACAGGUGGUGCAUGGUUGUCGUCAGCUCGUGUCGUGAGAUGUUGGGUUAAGUCCCGCAACGAGCGCAACCCUUACUGUUAGUUGCUACGCAAGAGCACUCUAGCAGGACUGCCGUUGACAAAACGGAGGAAGGUGGGGAUGACGUCAAAUCAUCAUGCCCCUUAUGACCUGGGCCUCACACGUACUACAAUGGCUGUCAACAGAGGGAAGCAAAGCCGCGAGGUGGAGCGAACCCCUAAAAGCAGUCUUAGUUCGGAUUGUAGGCUGCAACCCGCCUACAUGAAGUCGGAAUUGCUAGUAAUCGCAGAUCAGCAUGCUGCGGUGAAUACGUUCCCGGGCCUUGUACACACCGCCCGUCACGCCAUGGGAGUCGGUAACACCCGAAGCCUGUAGUCUAACCGCAAGGAGGACGCAGUCGAAGGUGGGAUUGAUGACUGGGGUGAAGUCGUAACAAGGUA